GUUGACCUUUACAUUUCAUGGUGGGAAUGUAAUUGAUUUGGACCCCAGCCUCUAGGGGUUUGGUUAGAGGUUACUAGUACUAGUAGUGUUUGGUUCCGUCCACCAGGAACAAUUUGAGGCUAGCCACCCAUUUGAAAAGUCCCACCUAACUGGGCAUUUGACAUUUGAUAACCAGAGUAAUGAAAAAUUGAAUGGAUUUGAUUGAGUCUGAUGUGAAAGUGUUUGAAUUUGAUAUGAAAUUGGUUGGUUGAAUUUUGAAUAUAUUGGUAUUUUUGAAACUCUGAUAUUUGAUGAGAAAAAAAAAAAUUUGAUAUCUCCUAUUUGAAAUGAAAAUAUUUGAUCCAUGAAUUGCAUUAAUA
rnacentral:lncRNA from 1 species